CCUACGGGUGGCAGCAGUGAGGAAUAUUGGUCAAUGGACGCAAGUCUGAACCAGCCAUGCCGCGUGCAGGAAGACGGCUCUAUGAGUUGUAAACUGCUUUUGUACGAGGGUAAACGCAGAUACGCGUAUCUGUCUGAAAGUACCUUAUGAAUAAGGAUCGGCUAACUCCGUGCCAGCAGCCGCGGUAAUACGGGGGAUUCAAGCGUUAUCCGGAUUUAUUGGGUUUAAAGGGUGCGUAGGCGGGCGGUUAAGUCAGAGGUGAAAUCCUGAGGCUCAACUUCGGAAUUGCCGUUGAUACUGUCAGGCUAGAGAGUAGUUGCGGUAGGCGGAAUGUAUGGUGUAGCGGUGAAAUGCUUAGAGAUCAUACAGAACACCGAUUGCGAAGGCAGCUUACCAAGCUACUUCUGACGUUGAGGCACGAAAGCGUGGGGAGCAAACAGGAUUAGAUACCCCUGUAGUC
rnacentral:rRNA from 1 species